GACGAACGCUGGCGGCGUGCUUAACACAUGCAAGUCGAACGAUGAACCCGGAGCUUGCUCCGGUGGAUUAGUGGCGAACGGGUGAGUAACACGUGAGUAACCUGCCCUUGACUCUGGGAUAACUGCGGGAAACUGUAGCUAAUACCGGAUACGACCCUCGGCGGCAUCGCCAGGGGGUGGAAAGAAUUUCGGUCAAGGAUGGACUCGCGGCCUAUCAGCUAGUUGGUGAGGUAACGGCUCACCAAGGCGACGACGGGUAGCCGGCCUGAGAGGGUAACCGGCCACACUGGGACUGAGACACGGCCCAGAGUCCUACGGGAGGCAGCAGUGGGGAAUAUUGCACAAUGGGCGCAAGCCUGAUGCAGCAACGCCGCGUGAGGGAUGACGGCCUUCGGGUUGUAAACCUCUUUUAGUAGGGAAGAAGCGAAAGUGACGGUACCUGCGGAAAAAGCACCGGCUAACUACGUGCCAGCCGCCGCCGUAA
rnacentral:rRNA from 1 species